UCUUUCUCAGGCAAACAGAGGCACAAACAUGUCAAAUGCAGUAAAGUACCACGAUAACAACAAAUGAUGAAGUAAAUCCAAAACAAAAUUCAAACUGGAAAGCAUUUGACAUAAAUAUGCAUGCAGUUGUAAGAAGACAAAUCCACCACUUAGUUUUAGUACAACAUGUCACACAUGGCGUAGAGAGAGUUCAAUGAUGUCAUAUGCUAGAUUGGAAGGCAUUCUACGACUAUUCUUCUGCUGUAGGUUGAGUCAGUCCAGCACUCACCAACAUUUUGUUCAGAGUUUCGGGAGAGCAUGCUUGAUACUUGACUUUCCCGUUAGAGAGAAAUACCUCAGCAAGUUCAAGUUUCUCCGAAGUGAGGCUAGUGCUGUCCAUUGUCUUACCAAGCACUUUAAGAGCAAGUUGAACGGCCUCUUCCCUUGUGAUAUCAUCCUUGUAAUCCUGCUUAAGAAUUGAUUGAGCUGCCUGGUUGUUUGCUCCAAUUGCUGCGGCUUUCCAACCACCGUAAUUUCCACUUGGGUCGCUCAUGUAAAGUUGGAAGCCAUAGUUUUUAUCCCAACCUGCAAAGAGA
rnacentral:misc_RNA from 1 species